rnacentral:rRNA from 1 species
UACGUAGGGUGCAGGCGUUAAUCGGAAUUACUGGGCGUAAAGCGUGCGCAGGCGGUCUGCUAAGAGAGAUGUGAAAUCCCCGGGCUCAACCUGGGAACUGCAUUUGUGACUGCAUAGCUAGAGUACGGUAGAGGGGGAUGGAAUUCCGCGUGUAGCAGUGAAAUGCGUAGAUAUGCGGAGGAACACCGAUGGCGAAGGCAAUCCCCUGGACCUGUACUGACGCUCAUGCACGAAAGCGUGGGGAGCAAACAGG